AACGGGGAUUGCCUCAGUAACGGCGAGUGAAGCGGCAACAGCUCAAAUUUGAAAUCUGGCGCCCCCGGCGCCCGAGUUGUAAUUUGCAGAGGAUGCCUCGGUGCGAGGCCGCGCCCAAGUCCCUUGGAACAGGGCGCCUCAGAGGGUGAGAGUCCCGUUGGGCCGCGGCCGACCUCCGUGUGAGGCUCCUUCGACGAGUCGAGUUGUUUGGGAAUGCAGCUCUAAGCGGGAGGUAAAUUUCUCCUAAGGCUAAAUACCGGCCAGAGACCGAUAGCGCACAAGUAGAGUGAUCGAAAGAUGAAAAGCACUUUGGAAAGAGAGUUAAAAAGCACGUGAAAUUGUUGAAAGGGAAGCGCUUGCGGCCAGACUUGCCGCGGCGGUUCGGCCGGGUGCUCCACCCGGCUUACUCCGCCGCGUCGGGCCAGCAUCAGCUUGGGCGGUCGGACAAAGGCCUGGGGAACGUAGCUCCCUCCGGGGAGUGUUAUAGCCCCUCGCGCAAUGCGGCCCGCCCGGGCUGAGGCUCGCGUUCUGCUAGGAUGCUGGCGUAAUGGCCGCAAGCGGCCCGUCUUGAAACACGGACCAAGGAGUCUACCAUCUGUGCGAGUGUUUGGGUGUCAAACCCGUGCGCGUAAUGAAAGUGAACGGAGGCGGGAGCCCCCGGGCGCACCGUCGACCGAUCCUGAUGUCUUCGGAUGGAUUUGAGUAAGAGCACAGCUGGUGGGACCCGAAAGGUGAGCAACCAACCCUUUUCUUCUACUUUAUAAAUGAAAGCUAAUAGAAAUUCCCCAGAUGGUGAACUAUGCGUAAACAGGGCGAAGCCAGAGGAAACUCUGGUGGAGGCUCGCAGCGGUUCUGACGUGCAAAUCGAUCGUCAAAUUCGCGCAUAGGGGCGAAAGACUAAUCGAA
rnacentral:rRNA from 1 species